rnacentral:snRNA from 1 species
GUACUCACUUCGACAGCACAUAUGCUAAAAUUGGAACUAUAGAGAAGAUUAGCAUGG